AUUGAACGCUGGCGGCAGGCUUAACACAUGCAAGUCGAGCGGAGACUUCGGUCUUAGCGGCGAACGGGUGAGUAAUACCUAGGAAUCUGCCUAUUAGUGGGGGAUAACGAAUCGAAAGGUUCGCUAAUACCGCAUACGUCCUACGGGAGAAAGGGGGGAUCUUCGGACCUCUCGCUAAUAGAUGAGCCUAGGCCGGAUUAGCUAGUUGGUAGGGUAAAGGCCUACCAAGGCGACGAUCUGUAGCUGGUCUGAGAGGAUGGCCAGCCACACUGGAACUGAGACACGGUCCAGACUCCUACGGGAGGCAGCAGUGGGGGAAUAUUGGACAAUGGGGGCGAACCCUAGAUCCAGCCAUGCCGCGUGUGUGAAGAAGGCCUCGUGUAGUA
rnacentral:rRNA from 1 species